GGAGGGGUGUCCGAGUGGCUUAAGGAGGUGGUCUUGAAAACCACUAGGCGGCUUGCCCGCCUCGUGGGUUCGAAUCCCACCCCCUCCG
rnacentral:tRNA from 2 species